CUGUCCAUCACUCAGACACUAAAACCUCUGGUGACAGGAAACUAUAUAAACCUGCAUUGAAGUUGUCCUCCUUGACAGGUGAACCGAAAAUCUGGGAUGACCAAGCCGAUUUUUUUUCAGUAUCGGUUGCAGAACCUUAACAAUGCACGAAAGAAGGAGGAUAAAAGGAAACAACAUACUCCUUGAUCUCGGUAAUCAAACACCUUGUACAAAAAUGAAAAAAGGACAGGAAAAGGAAGAAACUGUGAUGGUCAGGGUUAGUGAGGUCGUUUCGUGCCAGGGUGGAACAUACAGCCUGUAGUGUCGCUCCAUCUCGCUACCCCUCCACCGUGUAUCGCCCUCCCGAUAUGGUUGGUUCCCUGUCGCGCACUGCGACUGCGCACACAAGCCACGGCCGCCAUCUUGGAAGGCAGCGACGUUUCCUCGCUGACCACCUGCACCGGAAUUUCCAUCUACGGAACAGCAAACCUUUUCUCCAAGCAACAGACACAAUGGGGACUUCGUAAGAUUUUCCAGUCAACUGUAUUAAGCAGAUGCUUGCCGCUGCCCACCAAACAACUACGAAUAAACAGAAUUCAGAGCAAGCAUGAACUGUCCACAACAAACUUCUCAGCAAACCGCAGCAUCGGUCCGUGAGCUGAAUUCAACCUACAGACACGGAAGCUGUGUCGAAUGAAAAGGCCAUGAACAAGCCUGGUGGCUUCUUUUCCGCUGGAGGCGAAUUUCAUUCAUCUUUUAUCGUGAGUUUGCAUCUUUUAAAACAAAAAAAAAAUGUCCUUCAAUGCUUGGUUUGAUAAUUACUCUUUAUUCUAAGUGCUGUGCAUCACGGAACGUGCUUUGCCUGUGUGUGGCCCCCCCAAACCCCUCUCUAUACCUCCCAGCAUAUCAGCUUUCUGUAUCUGUAGACCCUCCGUACAUCAAAAUUCUUUUUUUUGUUCCUCCCUGUACUUUGGCAGCUUGUGUCCUGUGCAAUGAUCGUUUGAAGCAUCUCUUGUAAUGGUUGGCCUCCAGGUCUGAAUGUGUCGUGAAUAUUCUGUUCUGUUCGUUGUGCUAUUUAUUGAUUGUGUGAAACGGCUUUUGAUUGUUUUUGCUCGCACUGCAUCUGUUUAUUUAUGUAUUUUGUUCGUUUAUUUAUGUGUUUAUCGUCCUCAUCGCGUCUCUUGGAUGUCUGCGUGUUUAGCGUGCAUUUCAUUUCCGUGGAGGAGGUGGAUAGCCGAGUAUUAGAGGACUGGCGUCUAAACCCAAAAGCACGUCGGUUCGAUGCCCAUGUGGCGCUGCGAAUUUUCCUCCUUUUUGAGCCCGCUCCUCCCUUCACCCACCCAGUCG